rnacentral:lncRNA from 1 species
CUGAAUUAUUAGCAACCCACCCCUUUAUAUGGUAAUUUCUCAAUUUCCAGACUUGCAUCACAAGAAGAAAAGAAGAAAAAAGAGAUGUAACUAUGGGAAAUACUGGAUAUGUUAAUUCACUUGACCUGUAGUAAUCACUUCAUUAUAUAUGUAUACCAAAACAUCUUGCAGUACAACUUAAACAUACAGAAUUUUUUAAAAGACUGCAUCUUCAUGCUUGCUUAAGGACAUAAAUUUUCAGGAAUGGCGGAGGCAGAAGAAACCAUGCAGUUUAAACCCGUGUUGUUCAAGGGUCAACUGUAAAGCAACUCCAAAAUCACAGCAACAUAACACAACUAAGGGUUUACACUACUUGAUGUACAGAGAUUGGUAAGAGCCUCUUUUCAUGGUAGUCAAUUCAAGACGUCAGGUGAUGGACGCUGUUUCAACAUGUGCUUCCAAG